AUUGAACGCUGGCGGCAGGCCUAACACAUGCAAGUCGAGCGGAUGAAGGGAGCUUGCUCCUGGAUUCAGCGGCGGACGGGUGAGUAAUACCUAGGAAUCUGCCUGGUAGUGGGGGAUAACGUCCGGAAACGGGCGCUGAUACCGCAUACGUCCUGAGGGAGAAAGUGGGGGAUCUUCGGACCUCACGCUAUCAGAUGAGCCUAGGUCGGAUUAGCUAGUUGGUGGGGUAAAGGCCUACCAAGGCGACGAUCCGUAACUGGUCUGAGAGGAUGAUCAGUCACACUGGAACUGAGACACGGUCCAGACUCCUACGGGAGGCAGCAGUGGGGAAUAUUGGACAAUGGGCGAAAGCCUGAUCCAGCCAUGCCGCGUGUGUGAAGAAGGUCUUCGGAUUGUAAAGCACUUUAAGUUGGGAGGAAGGGCAGUAAGUUAAUACCUUGCUGUUUUGACGUUACCAACAGAAUAAGCACCGGCUAACUUCGUG
rnacentral:rRNA from 1 species